rnacentral:misc_RNA from 1 species
AAGUCGUAACAAGGUUUCCGUAGGUGAACCUGCGGAAGGAUCAUUAACACGUAGUUGCUUUUCAACCCCUGUGAACUUGUCUGGAAGGUGUGCGAGCUUUGAUGGCCUAAAUCAGCCGCCGUAUGUUGACUAGGCUGUUGCCAAGUGUUUGCGCGGUCUGCGUGACUUCGCUACACAAGGCAUCUCCACACUGUAGUACGGCCCCCCUUUUUUGUCGUUUACUAAAUGAACUAAAUGUUACGGAUGGAACCAAGGGACUGCGGUUCUUUGGCAUCGUCUGAUUAGCACUCUUAGCAACGGAUAUCUUGGCUCUC